CGCGCCGGCGGCUGGGGCGUGGCGCCCGCCUCCCUCCCGAGCUGAGGCGGACUGGUUGGUCCCCGACGUUUCGCUGGUAGCCGGGGUUCUGAGCGUCCGCGGAGAUGCUGCAGAUUCCUUUGCAAAGUUACUUGAGAGGCCCAAAAGACCUAUGAUGUAAUCUUCAGAAAAGAACAGAAGAAAACGUCUGAGAGAAACACAGAGAAAAAGAGCCAGUCAUGGAACUCCAUGUGGAAACAGCUGGGGAGAUAGAUUAUACCUAGAAUCACUUUGAACUUGCCGAGAGCAAGCAGAAAAUUAGUGAAAUGGAGCUGACCCCUUGCUUCUGAAUGAUUGAACCAACACAACGUUCACCUUU